CAACCCUGAUGUCAACAUCAGAUUAAGGUAUCAGAAGUCAGCAGAGGCCAUAGUAAGCCCGAGACGAGCUGGGC
rnacentral:ncRNA from 1 species